UAGAACAGAUUGUCUCUAAGCAACAGUUACACAUAUUCUUCAUAUGUGAAAACAAAAAAUAGGUUGAAUCGGCAACAAUCAUAAAACAAUGAAUAUACCGCAUUGUUUCUGCCACUUCCUAACUUUCACAUUUGAACUGCUUCGUCAGUUGCCGGUGUCACCAAUUCAGCGAAUGCAUUACAUUGUGAAUUUACCUCGUCUAAAUCAGAAAAGCAUUACACGAGUAUUGGACUGGAUGGAAUCACUUGGAAUAGAAUUAUGAUGGCUCGAAAUGUUUUAUCAGUAUACUGUAAAUUCUCGAACCAAUACAAACAUGAGCUGAGAGGAAAUUUACUAAUGCUAUAACAUUUUAUUGUAUAGUCGUUGAUUCUGUAGUAUAGUUAUGUAUAUCAUAGUAUAGUCAUAUUGCAUAGUGAUAGUAUCAGUAUAAAUAUGUACAAAUUAAAUUAAAAAUAAAAUGGUUCAAUGUUUA